rnacentral:rRNA from 1 species
AGUGAACGCUGGCGGUAGGCCUAACACAUGCAAGUCGAACGGCAGCACAGAGGAGCUUGCUCAUUGGGUGGCGAGUGGCGGACGGGUGAGGAAUACAUCGGAAUCUACUCUGUCGUGAGGGAAAACGUAGGGAAAAUUACGCUAAUAACGCAUACGACCUACGGCUGAAAGCAACGGACCUUCGGGCCUUGCGCGAUUGAAUGAGCCGAUUUAGGAGUAGCUAGUUGGCGGGGUAAAGGCCCACCAAGGCGACGAUCCGUAGCUGGUCUGAGAGGAUGAUCAGCCACACUGGAACUGAGACACUGUCCAGACUCCUACGGGAGGCAGCAGUGGGGAAUAUUGGACAAUGGGCGCAAGCCUGAUCCAGCCAUACCGCGUGGGUGAAGAAGGCCUUCGGGUUGUAAAGCCCUUUUGUUGGGAAAGAAAUCCAGCUGGCUAAUACCCGGUUGGGAUGACGGUACCCAAAGAAUAAGCACCGGCUAACUUCGUGCCAGCAGCCGCCGUAA